rnacentral:rRNA from 1 species
GACGAACGCUGGCGGCGUGCCUAAUACAUGCAAAUAGAACGCAGUUGCGAACGGGUGAGUAACGCGUAGGUAACUGCCUCAUAGCGGGGGAUAACUAUUGGAAACGAUAGCUAAUACCGCAUACUGUGAGAUGGACCUGCGUUGUAUUAGCUAGUUGGUGAGGGAAAGGCUAACAAAGGCGACGAUACAUAGCCGACCUUAGGGGGUGAUCGGCCACAGUGGGACUGAGACACGGCCCAGACUCCGACCGGAGGCAGCCGUAGGGAAUCGUCGGAAAUGGACGGAAGUCUGACUGAGCAACGUCGGGGGAGUGAAGAAGGUUUUCGGAUCGGAAAGCUCUUGUGUUAGAGAAGCGGGAACUAACCAGUAAGGGACGACUAACUACGUGCCAGCAGCCGCGGUAAUAC